rnacentral:lncRNA from 1 species
GCUGAAGGAGGUUUUAGAAGUCUCUAAAGCCAAUAGCAUAGCUACCUCAAAUUUCCAAUGAUGUUAACAAGGAAGAAACCACAAGAAUCAAUGCCCAGAGAUCGUCAGAUCUGCACCUGUACGUAAGGUGUAUAAAAAGUAAGAGUGAGUAGGGAACCACGUGUACUAAGCCAGCAUCGUCGACCAAUCCUAAUUCAAAGUGGUGACAAGAAACACCACGUUAACCAUCUAAAAAUAAUCAUACAACCUGCACUCAGGAAAGCCACCAUAUUCUAUCUGAAUAAUCAAGUCUAACAGACAUAACGAUAUCAUAACAUAGUCCAAGAAGUCCUCAAUACAAUGAAACAAGUAACACAUAUACAAUAAGUACAAGGUCAAUAAAUACACCUUAACCAAUCUGAACCAAAAUGAAUCAAUGCAGUGUGAUGCAAUGCAUAUGAUGUGUACAUAUCUACCGAACAAUUGCUUCAAGGUCAGAACCCAUGGGGGACUCACAAGAUCCAUGUACUAUGCAAGCGUGCACUUCGAUCUCAAUAAAUAUAUUGUGUAGGCGUGCACUCCGAUCUCAAUAAAUAUAUUGUGCAGGAGUGCACUCCAAUCCUUGCAUGACGUGUAUGCGUGCAACUCCGAUCCCAAAGCAACAAUGAUGUUAAUCAUAGAAUUUUAAGUCUUAUGUCGAAUAAACAUCAAUUCCAAAAUCAACUCAACUUAUCAAGUGAGAGUAUUUUUAUUAGCUAGCUUUUUCAACAAAUUCAUUUACCAUAGCAAAUCAGUCCACCGGGCUAGCAAAUAGGGAAAAACAGUUCAAAACAUACAAUUAACUUAUUUUAUCUCCUCAAAUAAUACGGGUACCCGCAUGAUGCUUGUCACAAUCACUUAUACGGGACCCCCAAUUUUCAUUACUUCCAUUAAACAUAACUAACAAAUAAGCACUUUGAAAAAGAGCCUAGAGAAAGUCUCAACUUGCCUCAAAUUACCACCCAAGCAUCAAUUUAUAAGCUUGCCUUUUCGUAGAGUCUUCGAACUGUCAAAAUCUGUUUCAAAUACAUAAUUUCCAUAAAAUACGAAUCUAAUAACAUCCAUUUUAUAAAUUCUUGCUCUAAAAACCUAGGCCAAUAACUUAAUUUAUAUCUAUAAUCUAUAAUAUAUUAAAAGUGUGAAGGGUCUUAGAAAUAUUGUUUGAAUUUUUGUUUUAAAUAAAAUUAUUUUUCACUAUUUUUUCUAAUAUUUAAGAUUUAACAAUUAAUUAAAUAAAUUUAUAGUAAAAUCUCUUCUUAUUAGAAGUCAUCAAAAUUAAUGAUAAUUAAUAUUUUUUAAAAUACUUUAAGAAUUUUAAAAUAGUAAAUUUUAAUUUUAAAAAAAUUAAAAAUAAAUAAAAUUAUUCAAUUUUAAAUAAUUAAAUAUUGCACAUAAGAUUAAACCAAAGUAUCAAAAGUGGUAACAUUCCAUAGGAAAACUUCUAUUUGAAAGUAACCAACAGUGGCGUGCGCCACUUUCAAUUCACCGAAACAUGAUUUUCAUGCCAAUUUCACACACAAGAAAAAACAAAAUUACUGUAAAUAUUGGUGAAAGUCAACUUUGUCAAUAAAGGUUAAUAAUAAUAAAAUAAUGCUAAUGUACCAUUUACAAAAUAAUUGUUAAACGGACCACAGACCCACUUUCUUUUUCAUUGCACCAAUUGAACUUGAACACUACCUUUUCCAUUUUUUUCUUUCAAGCUAAUCAGGCGUACAUGUUUUGGACGUGAUACAAUUAUUUAGAUUUAUUAAUUAUAUAAGGUUAUAUUUAUUUAUGAUAAGCUGAGUAUAAUUCUCAAUAUUUGCUAAUUAUUUUUUAUGAAUUGAAUAAAAAAAUUUUAUGGACAAUUGUAUCUUGCUUUUGAAGUUAUCAAUAAAAUAUUUUAAAUACUGAAAGUUAAAAUUAUUGAUAAAGUUAAAAAUGAAGAUUGUGGUAUCAAUUAAGUUCAAAUUAUUUUUUUAAAAAAACUUUUUUGAUUAUUGAGAGUUAAAUUCUUAGGCAUAAACUAAAUAUAAAGAACUAAUAGAUUUUCGAGGUUUAUUUUGAUGAAUUUAAUUUUUUUCUUUAAUUAAAUUAAAACAAGCAUAAAUUAUCAUAUUGACUAAAUUAACUUCUUGCCACGUGAAAUUAUGAAUAAAAUUAAGACUUCAUAAAUAUCUAAGGAAAUACAUAUCUAUUUAUAGUUAUAUAAUAUAUGUUUAUAAACUCAUAAAAAUAUUAAUGUUUUUCAAUUUAUGAUCUUUGUGAGUUAUAAUUAUUUUAUAUAUUUAAUCAUAUUAUUAUAUAAAAUAUUAAUUUACUUGAGUUUGGGUCCGGACUUAGCACGACCUUAUUAAACUAGUAACUAUAUAUAAGAGAAAAUCUUAUAUUUUGAUAUUCUUCACAGAUUUUUUGGUGCAAUUAGAUUGCCACACAUAUCUAUUGUCUUUUCCAUACAUAUCAUCACAUUUUUUUGGUAACUAACAUGAUUUUAUCAAUCACCAAAGUAAUAAUUAUAGAUCAAAACAUAACUUACAAACUCAGCUGGCUAUACUCAAAGAAAAAGGAAAGACAAGGAUCCUAAUCAACCAAUUAGAAGAAAACAAAGGACCACUCGAGGCAAUAGUCAAGCUAGCCAAAAAUGAAAAUUAUGCAGAAGAGUACUGAUUGUUGGUUUAUCUCUAGUAAUGUAGGUGUGGGCUAAUUCUUUUGCAAGGCUGUCACAUGUCCUCUGUUUUUCCUCAAAUAUUCUUCGGUUUCUUUCAAUCCAGAGAGAGUGUACACAUUUAACAAAGACAAGUUUGAAGAUUAUAUUCUUGCUUCUUGAGAUUUUCCUUUAGCAUUCUUUACGACCCACGUUGUAUAGUCCUCCCAUGUACUUAUAGUGAUUGCAUCUUUAUGUAUCUAGCGAAGCACCCGAGUCCAGAGGGUCUUGCAAAAGGGCAAGAAAGGAAAAGAUGAUCCUUAGUUUCAUCUUGCAUUAGACAUAGAACAUAAGUAGGAGAAAUUUUGAGACUCCAUUUAAGAAGUCUGUCCAUAGUUAGUAAUAUCCCAUGAAAAUGAAGCCACAUAGUAAAUUUUGCCUUGAUCGUGCAUCAUACUCAAACAUCAAGCAUUUCCAAGGCGUAGAUGGUUCAACAGGAAGGAGAGCAUGGUAGAAAUGUUUGAUGAGGUUAUGAGAGAAAGUUGAAACCUGACAAACUAAAGCAACAAUGUCUCUAGCAGAUAUGAUUUGUUUGAUCAUCCAAGAUGCCUUAGGAACCUCAUUGAAAAGUCUGUCUUUUAUAUAGCAUGUAUGAACCCAUCUCACCCAUUUGUCCGCUUUAUUGUCUACAUCUUGCAAUAACAAUUUUGUUCCAGAAUCUCUAGUUAAUCAGAUUUAGUCCUCCUGUGGCAAUAGGUGAGCAAACCUUAUCCCAUGCUACUAAUGCCUUUUUAGUGAUUGUGUUUGCCCCAUACCACAUAUAACUCUGACAAUACGCAUCAAUCACUUUGACAACUUUAGUAGGAAUUGUAAAGAGUUGAGCCCAAUAGGCCUGCAUGCCAAACAACACGGAUUGAAUCAUUUGUUCUCGCUUAUUAUUCUAUUAUUUUCUAUUUGGACCCUUGUAAUUGAAUGAGACACAGUAGUAAUUUAUUUUUUUAAUAAAUCUCACCUUGUUUCUUUUUAUUUAUUUCUUAUAUUGAAAUUAAUUACUUUUUACUUAUUAAUUUUAGUAAAGCACGAAAGAUUUUUACAUUUUUUUAUACUUCCUCCGUCUCAUUUUACUCGUCUCAAUUUGGCAUUGCAUAUUGAUUAAGAAAAAUAAUUAAUAACAUACCUACUUUACCAUCGCAUCCCUAUUAAAUUAUGUUUACAUUUUAAUUUGGAGAAAAAAAUAAUUAAUACUAAGGGUAAAAAAGAAAAGAAAAAGUUGUCUUGUCUUGAUUAAUGAAAAAUGACAAGUAAAAUAAAAAAUUAAAUUAAGAAAUCUUAGACGAGUAAAAUGGGAUGAAGGAAGUAUCAUUUUUAUUAUUAAGUAACUGUAUAUGUCACACCCCUUUUUAACUCCAAGAAAAAUUAUUUUUAUGGGUUUCGAAAGGAUUUUAUUUAUUAAAGUGACAAAAAUGAGGAUUUAUUUCGAAAAAGAAUUAUUUAUAUUUUUUAUUCAGAGUCGUCACUUGACAUAAUCCGGUGUGCCAAGUCACCUUUGGAGAAUCCUUUUCGAAAUGAUUUGACUCUUUACAAAACUGGUUUGCGACAAAGAUUCCGGCUAAGAAAUUCUGUUGACCGAGGGGAAGGUGUUAGGCAUCCCUCGAUCCCAUGGUUCGCCCACGGUCGCUUGGUGGAGCAUAUCAGCUAAUUUGACAUUACAAAUGCAUAAUCCACACAAAAACACAUAAACAAUCAAUCAAACACGAAACAAAACAAAUCCAAAAUAUAGUGUUCAGUCCAAUUAUACAGUUCAAAAUAAAAAAUGCGAAAAAAUAAAUCCUAUUCUAACCUACACUAAUCCUAAACUAUGCUCCAGUGCUUUACCUGAUGCCUCGAUCCUUCGUCACGGGCGUCUUCCGAGUACAAAAUACCGCGGGGCAUUUCCCGGCGAAUAAACACAAAUAUCUCAGGGCAUUUUCCGCCAAAUAAUACAUUUGAUCCAAAAGCAAUAAAACCAAGCCAUUCAACACAUGUUUCGAGCAUUCAACAUUCCACAAUUCCUAAAACUUGCCAACCCGAACCUACUAUUUGCCUACCCAACUCGAUCUAUCAUGGCACUAUCACGAUCGACGACGUCAAUGAAUCAAAACAACAAAAAAAUUAAAAUUAAUCCUAAUUAAGAUUAGCAAUUUUUCAAUUCCGCUCCAAAUUCAUUCUCAACCAAUGAUUAACACAUGCAUCGAUUAUCAAUUCAUUUUUCAACAUUCAAAUCCAACAUCAACCAAUACACAAUCAAGAUUCAAACAUACCAACACAUAAAUCAUUCACGAUUACGUAAAAAUUAAAAAAAGAGGAGAUAGAAUUGGACCUCAGUGCUUUCAAAAAUCGAUGUAUUAUUUCGAUUAACCUGGUAGAAUCCGCAUCCAAAAUCCUCGAACAAAACCCUCCAUCACGAUCAAGAAUCCAACUCGGUAUCAAGAAAGUGAACCCAAAACUGAUUACGGUGAAUUGAUUGGGACGAAACAGAAUCUAAAUCCAAAAAUCAGUUCAAAGACAGAUGAGCCAAGACCAAAAUUGCAACAGAGUAAAUCGAACCCGUCAAAAUUCUCAGCAAACAAACUCACAACUUGAACAAAAAACCCCCAAAAACCCGAACUUACCCAAACAAUCCCACUGAACCUUUUCGAUUUUUAUCUUUUUCCGAUGAAAGUUGACCAGAAUAAAAUGAAACGACUCAAAGUUUUAUGGAUUAGACGGCUGACUUACUUUUCGACGAGAUUCAGAUGGAAAAUCGGGAUCGGUAUUAACUUCUUGAUGCGAGCAUGGUUGGAACGAGAUUAGCGGAGCUUUCUCGGUGGCAAUUCUAGUGAGUCACCAGCGAGAGCUUUGUCGGAAAGCAGUCCAAUUGCCUCUCUGUCUCUCUCUCAAUCUCUCUGGUUUGCUUAAAUCUCUCUUACCUUCAACGAUUUCUCACAGUUUCUCUUUUAACUCUCUAUGCCUCUCUCCAUCUCUUACUCUCACUCUCCUCUCUUCCUCUUACUGUGUGUAUUUUUUGAGUUUUCAGUGAGCUGGUGAAAAUGCUAUGCCAGUGGAAUUGGGGAUUUUGUGGUGAUCAGUGAAUAAGAAAAGGAAAAAAAUGGCGCGGUGUGUUCUAUGUUGAGAAAAAAAAGAAUCCAGUGGUGUGUAUAUUCUGUGUAUAUGGAUUGGUCAAGAAGAAAAGAAAAUCCCCUGUACCUGUGUGUUUUUGGAAAAAUGGAUAAGAAGUCCAAAGAGAAAGGAAAAAAAGGCCUCCCCUAAUCUAUUCCAGUGAAUGGAAAUUAUAUUGAUGGAAUGUGGGGUCCAUGAGUGAGGUGUCUAUUUUGAUUGGGUAAGUUAUUAGGAUGAGGUGUAAAGUUGGUUAGGAUAGAAUUAAAACAAGAUAAAAUUUGUUAAGGAUUAUGUUAAGGGUUGUUAUUAUUUUUUUGUAGGGUAUAAUUAUAUGGAUGAGGGUGUACAAUAAAGUGAGGUAAAAAUGAAUAAAAUUAGACUUGGGAGGGAUAAAAUUAGGUAUCUACGACAUGCCCCCUUUGAAUGUAAACAUGAAGUGUUUUCAAACAAAGAAGUAGACAACGAGAUAAAAUUUUGUCCCAACUAUUAUUCAAAAAGAAUGAAAUAGAAAGAAGGAGGAAAACCAAGUCUUGACUUUGGAAAUCAUACUUAUCCCUAGUUAUGGGGGAAUCAAGUCACAGGUAUCCCAAGGACUGAAAGAAGAGGGACUAUACCGAGUUGGAGAGUCGAGCGAGGUUCUGUCGAGGUUCCGAUCUGCGGCUCUGUCAUUACAUCAAAACAAAAAUUACAAGUUAAAACAUAAAUGAAAUUACAAAAGUCCUCUCUAUGC